rnacentral:rRNA from 1 species
GACGAACGCUGGCGGCGUGCCUAAUACAUGCAAGUCGAGCGGACGGAUGGGAGCUUGCUCCCAGACCGUCAGCGGCGGACGGGUGAGUAACACGUGGGCAACCUGCCUGUAAGACUGGGAUAACUCCGGGAAACCGGGGCCAAUACCGGAUAACUCUUUCCCUCACAUGAGGGAAAGCUGAAAGAUGGCAUCUCGCUAUCACUUACAGAUGGGCCCGCGGCGCAUUAGCUAGUUGGUGAGGUAACGGCUCACCAAGGCGACGAUGCGUAGCCGACCUGAGAGGGGGAUCGGCCACACUGGAACUGAGACACGGCCCAGACUCCUACGGGAGGCAGCAGUAGGGAAUCUUGCGCAAUGGACGAAAGUCUGACGGAGCAACCCCGCGUGAGUGAUGAAGGUUUUCGGAUCGUAAAACUCUGUUGUCAGGGAAGAACAAGUACCGGAGUAACUGCCGGUACCUUGACGGUACCUGACCAGAAAGCCACGGCUAACUACGUG